UACAGAGGUCUCAAGCGUUGUUCGGAUUCAUUGGGCGUAAAGGGUGCGUAGGUGGCUAGGUAAGUCAGGUGUGAAAUCUCGGGGCUCAACUCCGAAACUGCACUUGAUACUGCCUGGCUCGAGUACUGGAGAGGAGAUUGGAAUUUACGGUGUAGCAGUGAAAUGCGUAGAUAUCGUAAGGAAGACCAGCGGCGAAGGCGGGUCUCUGGACAGUUCCUGACACUGAGGCACGAAGGCCAGGGGAGCAAACGGG
rnacentral:rRNA from 1 species